ACGGGAGGCAGCAGUGGGGAAUAUUUGGCAAUGGGCGAAAGCCUGACCCAGCAACGCCGCGUGAAGGAAGAAGGUCUUCGGAUUGUAAACUUCUUUUAUGAGGGACGAAGGACGUGACGGUACCUCAUGAAUAAGCCACGGCUAACUACGUGCCAGCAGCCGCGGUAAUACGUAGGUGGCAAGCGUUAUCCGGAUUUACUGGGUGUAAAGGGCGCGUAGGCGGGUAUGCAAGUCAGCUGUGAAAUCUAUGGGCUUAACUCAUAAACUGCAUUUGAAACUGUAUCUCUUGGGUGCUGGAGAGGUAGAUGGAAUUCCUUGUGUAGCGGUGAAAUGCGUAGAUAUAAGGAAGAACACCAGUGGCGAAGGCGAUCUACUGGACAGUAAAUGACGCUGGGGCGCGAGAGCGUGGGGAGCAAACAGGAUUAGAUACCCUGGUA
rnacentral:rRNA from 1 species